rnacentral:rRNA from 1 species
UACAGAGGGUGCGAGCGUUAAUCGGAAUGACUGGGCGUAAAGGGCGCGUAGGUGGUUAAUUAAGUUGGAUGUGAAAUCCCUGGGCUUAACCUAGGAACUGCAUUCAAUACUGGUUAACUUGAGUAUGGGAGAGGGUAGUGGAAUUUCCGGUGUAGCGGUGAAAUGCGUAGAUAUCGGAAGGAACAUCAGUGGCGAAGGCGACUGCCUGGCCCAAUACUGACACUGAGGCGCGAAAGCGUGGGUAGCGAACAGG